GACAGAGGAGCCAAGCGUUGUCCGGAUUUACUGGGCGUAAAGAGCGCGCAGGCGGUCGGAUCAGCCGAAUGUGAAAGCCCCCGGCUCAACUGGGGAGGGUCAUUCGAUACUGUCCGACUCGAAGGCAGGAGAGGGAAGCGGAAUUCCCGGUGUAGUGGUGAAAUGCGUAGAUAUCGGGAGGAACACCAGUGGCGAAGGCGGCUUUCUGGCCUGUUCUUGACGCUGAGGCGCGAAAGCUAGGGGAGCGAACGGG
rnacentral:rRNA from 1 species